rnacentral:misc_RNA from 1 species
CCCCAAUACUCAGUGAUGCUACAUUCUGUCAAAAAUACAAGAUUAAAACAUUAAAAAUAAUUAUAAAAUUCUAAACUUAUACAAUACUUCAUUUUCAUAUGAAAGAAUCUCUUUUAUCUUAUCAACAUUAUAAAAGAUAAGAGUUUGUGUUUAUACACAAUAGUGUGAAAGCAAACAGGUGUUAGCUAGGUUAUUUCAUAGUGGCAAAUAAAAAGUAAGAAUGAAAUUUUGAAGAGAUACACUUUGCCGUUAGAUUAUUGUCAUUAUCAGAUUAUCGCAUAUUUCAUACCCGAAAUCUAAUGUUAAUGUUAUCGUUUGAAUAUGACGCAAAAUUAUUUCUUGGUUUCAGUAGCUUCUCCGUGUCAUUUUCAUCAUUCACGCAACUGUUAACACUGUCAUCGAUGUUGCUAUUUAUCAUCACAUUUAUAUGCGUCGAAGUGUCCAUCAUUUUUCAACCACUGUCACUGCAAUCAAAUUUUACAAAGUGUAAAAAGUUGGUUUUCAUCCUUUUCAUACUUGGACGCGAGAACCACGAGGAGAAAAAGAACGGCACAGAUGACUGAAAAAGCUACGACAUCUGUCGUAAUAUUCCUCAAUGUGAUACGAAGUUUCGUAUCCGAAGAAUCGAAGUUGUCGUUUGUUGCCAUCCAGAAGACUUUAUAGAGAAUCACAUCCUAGAACAAGAGCAACGUUGACAUUUUGUUUUAGGGCACACAUCGAAUUUGUGAUUUUUCUUUUGUACAACAUAUACUUCACACUUUUUGACAA